rnacentral:rRNA from 1 species
GCUCAGGAUGAACGCAGCUACAGGCUUACACAUGCAAGUCGAGGGGCAGCAUGGUCUUAGCUUGCUAAGGCCGAUGGCGACCGGCGCACGGGUGAGUAACACGUAUCCAACCUGCCGUCUACUCUUGGACAGCCUUCUGAAAGGAAGAUUAAUACAAGAUGGCAUCAUGAGUCCGCAUGUUCACAUGAUUAAAGGUAUUCCGGUAGACGAUGGGGAUGCGUUCCAUUAGAUAGUAGGCGGGGUAACGGCCCACCUAGUCUUCGAUGGAUAGGGGUUCUGAGAGGAAGGUCCCCCACAUUGGAACUGAGACACGGUCCAAACUCCUACGGGAGGCAGCAGUGAGGAAUAUUGGUCAAUGGGCGAGAGCCUGAACCAGCCAAGUAGCGUGAAGGAUGACUGCCCUAUGGGUUGUAAACUUCUUUUAUAAAGGAAUAAAGUCGGGUAUGGAUACCCGUUUGCAUGUACUUUAUGAAUAAGGAUCGGCUAACUCCGUGCCAGCAGCCGCGGUAAUACGGAGGAUCCGAGCGUUAUCCGGAUUUAUUGGGUUUAAAGGGAGCGUAGAUGGAUGUUUAAGUCAGUUGUGAAAGUUUGCGGCUCAACCGUAAAAUUGCAGUUGAUACUGGAUAUCUUGAGUGCAGUUGAGGCAGGCGGAAUUCGUGGUGUAGCGGUGAAAUGCUUAGAUAUCACGAAGAACUCCGAUUGCGAAGGCAGCCUGCUAAGCUGCAACUGACAUUGAGGUCGAAGUGUGGUAUCAAACAGGAU